CAAAUUACUACACACAGCAAAUCUUCGAGAGUAAAGUGUCAGGGUGAGCUUGUUUUUUGCUCACCCCAUGAUUAGCGUGGGUUGAGGCUCUGCUAUCAGAGGGGGAGAUGAUACGGGGCUCGUUCGAUCUUGUUCCCGUCAACAGUGUGCUUGUUACCUCUUGCUCUAAAUUUUUGUUCUGCUCGCGAAGUGCUCUCUCCUACACAUCGAAAGGCAAAGAAGUAACAACGAUUCCAUGAAGCGCCGUGACUAACUCUCAUGGGCCAUGGUGGCAGAUGUUAAGCUAAGUGAAUGAGUUUCUAAGAAGCUUCUUUGCCUUCGAAAAGUUUCCAAGAAGGAUAGAGUUCUUAGUGGAAGAGAUCGCUAGGAGUGGAUGGAUUAGUCACUCCAAGAAGACGGAUACCAAUUAAACCAAGGUGUUGUGCAUAUGAAGUCAAGAUUGAAACAAGGCUUUUGCUGCGCAUUAACAACAAGCAUAAAACAUCAAAGAGAAAUGAUUGAAGUUAUUCACACCUCCUCUAGAUCGCACGGGUCCUAACAUUAUCAACUCUAAUUAAAUAAACAACAAUUAAAUUUUUCCAAUACUUUUCUUUGUGGUCAUCUCUAGAAAAUCGUAUUUAUGGAGCAGAUUCAUUCCUCCACAAUUUCAAACACAUGUUUAUUAGUCUAAGAAAUCUAUAUAUGGUAUUUGAUAAGCCUCCCUGAAUGAUUUUAUCAUCUACCUAUUUGAUUAUAUAUUCAAGGAUUCUAUGACUCAAAAUUUGAUA